UGUGUGUGUGUGUGUGUGUGUGUGUGUGCAUAUAUAUAUAUAUAUAUAUAUAUACGCAUAUGCAUAUGCAUAUACAUAUA